UGAGUGGCGAACUGGUGAGUAACACGUGGGAAACCUGCCCAGAAGCGGGGGAUAACACCUGGAAACAGAUGCUAAUACCGCAUAACAACUUGGACCGCAUGGUCCGAGCUUGAAAGAUGGCUUCGGCUAUCACUUUUGGAUGGUCCCGCGGCGUAUUAGCUAGAUGGUGGGGUAACGGCUCACCAUGGCAAUGAUACGUAGCCGACCUGAGAGGGUAAUCGGCCACAUUGGGACUGAGACACGGCCCAAACUCCUACGGGAGGCAGCAGUAGGGAAUCUUCCACAAUGGACGAAAGUCUGAUGGAGCAACGCCGCGUGAGUGAAGAAGGGUUUCGGCUCGUAAAACUCUGUUGUUAAAGAAGAACAUAUCUGAGAGUAACUGUUCAGGUAUUGACGGUAUUUAACCAGAAAGCCACGGCUAACUACGUGCCAGCAGCCGCGGUAAUACGUAGGUGGCAAGCGUUGUCCGGAUUUAUUGGGCGUAAAGCGAGCGCAGGCGGUUUUUUAAGUCUGAUGUGAAAGCCUUCGGCUCAACCGAAGAAGUGCAUCGGAAACUGGGAAACUUGAGUGCAGAAGAGGACAGUGGAACUCCAUGUGUAGCGGUGAAAUGCGUAGAUAUAUGGAAGAACACCAGUGGCGAAGGCGGCUGUCUGGUCUGUAACUGACGCUGAGGCUCGAAAGUAU
rnacentral:rRNA from 1 species